GAUGAACGCUGGCGGCGUGCCUAAUACAUGCAAGUAGAACGCUGAAGGAGGAGCUUGCUCUUCUGGAUGAGUUGCGAACGGGUGAGUAACGCGUAGGUAACCUGCCUGGUAGCGGGGGAUAACUAUUGGAAACGAUAGCUAAUACCGCAUGACAACAGUUAUUGCAUGAUAACUGUUUAAAAGGGGCAACUGCUCCACUACCAGAUGGACCUGCGUUGUAUUAGCUAGUUGGUGAGGUAACGGCUCACCAAGGCGACGAUACAUAGCCGACCUGAGAGGGUGAUCGGCCACACUGGGACUGAGACACGGCCCAGACUCCUACGGGAGGCAGCAGUAGGGAAACUUCGGCAAUAGACGGAAGUCUGACCGGGCAACGCCGCGUGAGUGAAGAAGGUUUUCGGAUCGUAAAGCUCUGUUGUAAGAGAAGAACGAGUGUGGGAGUGGAAAGUUCACACUGUGACGGUAUCUUACCAGAAAGGGACGGCUAACUACGUG
rnacentral:rRNA from 1 species